GAUGAAGAACGCAGCGAAAUGCGAUACUUGGUGUGAAUUGCAGAAUCCCGCGAAUCAUCGAGUUUUUGAACGCAAGUUGCGCCCGAAGCCAUUCGGCCGAGGGCGCGUCUGCCUGGGUGUCACGCAUCGUUGCCCCCCCAAACUCCGGUUCGGGCGGGGCGGAAGUUGGCCUCCCGUGCGUGCCUGCGCGCGCGGUUAGCCCAAAAGCGAGUCCUCGGCGAUGAGCGCCACGACAAUCGGUGGUUUUUUUACCCUCGUUCCUCGUCGUGCGUGCCCCGUCGCCCGAACGCGCUCUUGCAACCCUUACGCGUCGCCUCGGUGGCGCUCCCAACGCGACCCCAGGUCAGGCGGGACUACCCGCUGAGUUUAAGCAUAUCAAUAAGCGGAGGA
rnacentral:misc_RNA from 1 species